rnacentral:lncRNA from 1 species
CAAUAAUUAUUAAGUACUUUCUUAAUCUCAUUAAUGGAGCUUUCUUGGUUCUUGGACUUUUAUUCAUGGGAUUUGGUGCAUGGCUUUUAUUAGAUAGAAAUAAUUUUUUAACAGCUUUUGAUGAAAAUAAUCACUUCAUAGUAUCUAUUUCUAAAAUUUUGAUUGGAAUGGGAUCUUCUACUGUUCUUUUUUGUCUAUUGGGUUAUAUAGGAAUUCACAACGAAAUCAGAUGGCUCCUAAUUGUGUAUGCAGUAUUGAUAACAUGGACCUUUGCUGUUCAGGUUGUACUUUCAGCAUUCAUCAUCACAAAGAAAGAGGAGGUUCAGCAACUAUGGCAUGACAAAAUUGAUUUUGUCAUUUCUGAGUAUGGAUCUAAAGAUAAGCCUGAAGAUAUAACCAAGUGGACUAUUCUGAAUGCCUUACAGAAAACAACAGGUGCAGUGGAAGGGUAAGAGAAAGGUAUUGUCGGCUAA